GUUUCAACUCAGCAGCUGGAUAGAGCAUGGUGCUCGUAAUGCCAAGGUUGCGGGUUUGAUCCCCGUAAGAGACA